AACGAACGCUGGCGGCAUGCCUAAUACAUGCAAGUCGAACGAGAUCUUCGGAUCUAGUGGCGCACGGGUGCGUAACGCGUGGGAAUCUGCCCUUGGGUUCGGAAUAACUUCUGGAAACGGAAGCUAAUACCGGAUGAUGACGUAAGUCCAAAGAUUUAUCGCCCAAGGAUGAGCCCGCGUAGGAUUAGGUAGUUGGUGAGGUAAAGGCUCACCAAGCCGACGAUCCUUAGCUGGUCUGAGAGGAUGAUCAGCCACACUGGGACUGAGACACGGCCCAGACUUCUACGGGAGGCAGCAGUAGGGAAUAUUGGACAAUGGGCGAAAGCCUGAUCCAGCAAUGCCGCGUGAGUGAUGAAGGACUUAGGGUUGUAAAGCUCUUUUACCCGGGAUGAUAUUGACAGUACCGGGAGAAUAAGCUCCGGCUAACUCCGUG
rnacentral:rRNA from 1 species